ACACUGUUUGGGAGCCUCUUGGUAUAAAAGGAAACUAACCGCUUAAAACACAUAAAAAAGAAAAGAAAAGAAAGAUUGCUUCACGGAGAAAGGAGAGAGAGAGAAAAGAGAGACAGAGAAAUAGAGAGGCAGAGAGAGUUCUCCGUUCCCUCGCCAGACUUAGAGCAUCGGUACAAGCAGAAAGAAAAAUCUAUGGGCAUCAACACCGUUAGACUAUAUAUCUGCCACCAUCAGAUCGUCGGAACCGGCUCCGGUACGUUUUUCUCUAUUUUUUUAGACUUGGGGAAACACCAUAGAAGAUCAAAUUCUAUCUAGGCUUUGUCUCUCAGUGUUCUGAGGAAUGUAGACUGCAAUUGGGGGAGGUGGUGGAGAUAUUGGAAAGAAAAUAAAUCAUGGUGGUGGUGAUGUCGAUGGCGAUGAAGAUGAUUGCUUUGAUGACUUUGAUGAUGGCGAUGAAGGGGAUGGCGGAGGCCUAUUUAGGAGACAGAAAUUUCUUGAAGAGCUUUUUGGUCAUAAAUUCGUACAUGCAGUGUUAAAUGAAUGGCAGGGGACAAUGAUGGAUUUGCCUGCUGGAUUCCAAGAAGCUUAUGAUAUGGUAUGGUAUUUCUCUACCUAUGUGCUUUUGGCAAAGAAUUAUCUUGCCAUAUACCAACUCAUAUUUUACCUCCAGGGUCUGGUUAGCUCUAUUCAAAUGGUAAAACUCCUAGAACUCAAUGCCCGGCCAACUACUACUAGAUUUAUCCCCCGAGCACUUCCUAAAGGAAUGUCACAGGCAUUUAUUAGCUGGUGUAUAUGCUUCCCUUAAUUCGACAUCAUUGGCUGUCAAAGUUGCAGAGUUCCAUAUAAUACUAUGCUACAUUGACCAAAACAAAGAAUCUAACUCUAGAUAUACAGGUAUAAGUCCAUCAGCUCCAUUUUUUAGUAAAGCCACAUUGUCUCAGCAUAUAUAUAAGGAAAUUCCAUUGAUGUAAUCAUGGGCCUCCUCUAAAUCCAGCUUACAAGAUACUCCUGUUAUGGCAAAUUUCAAGGGAAUCAGUUUGAGUUGUAGUCUAAUUACAUUGCAGGAAAAGAGUUAGGGGCCUUUUUAUAAAUAUGAGAGCUCGAAUUCAAACUAAUCCUAAUCCUUUUAUUAAGUAAAUUCUAACCCUGCAUGUAAGUUUGUAAUUAUUGUAAUAAAACUUGAACCAGUGAGUGCCAAAUGACUAAGAUGGACUCUCAACUAAAAUUCCUUUUUCAAUCCGAAUGGGCCUUUAAAUUGAUGCAAGUCCUUAGGCAUUAGUGGAGGUCUUCCAAAGAGGCCCUUUAUUUGAAGCAAUGCAACUAUUGUGUCACAAUCGUACUAAUCUUUUGUUUCAUAGUGCUUACUAAGAUUUCAUGAAAUUUCAUACAUGAUAUCAUAUUAUCAUGUAAUAUAUAAUAUAAGUUGCAUCCUACCCGUGACUGCAUCAGGUGAUUUCCCUAUCUAUACUACAUUAUAAGUAUAUUAAAAUGUACUUAUCCAAGGGAGGCAAGUUAACUCUUUAAAAUAUACUUAUCCAAGGGAGACAAGUUAACUCAUUUUAUGAGCACUCUUUUCAGUUUGCCUACUUAUUUUCUUUCUCUUCAUUCUAUUCUAGUGGAGGUGGUCAAUUGAGAAGCUACAGAGAGAUUUUCUUUGGAGUGGCAUUGAUAAGAUACACUUUUAUACAUUGCUAAAAGUAUAAUCAAACUUAGCUAAUCAGAGUUGUUAGAUUGCUGAAUAAAUUGUCAAUCUUUGAUGUUUAUGAAUGCCACCUCCAAGGUUUGUUACUUUCCUCUACCUUUUUAUGUUUAUUUUGUUAAUCUCUGCUCAUUCACUGGGGUUUUUCUCUCAUCAUCAAUGCAGAAUUUCAUAGUAAAUUUCUUCUCUUUGGUUAUAUUUGUCCUACCUUUUAUUGCUUUGUUCUUUUUAAUUUUUAAAUCAAUUCUUUGUUUCUUUUGUUACAAUUUUAUAUAGUGCUGAGGUUAAGGUGUACGUGACCAUAUCUGCAUUACAGCUAAUUUCACGUCAUGUUUUCCUGGCUUACAGAGGGCUAAGACCUUGGGAAUUGUUGAAUUCCCAAUACUAGGCCGCAUUUGUAAACUUGCUAUUUCGUGGGAUUCUUUGAUUCGGUUUUGAUUAUGGGUAUGUUGUUUUGGUUUGCUAUAUGGUUUUUUUUGCUGUAUUUAUUUUGCAUUUGUUUUCCCUUUCUAUAUUUAUUAUAUGGGCAUUGUAAAAUUUAUUGCACAUUUUUAUACAAAAUUGUUUUCUUUGUAAACGGCUCUGAAUCAAAAAUUGUCACUUCCUAUUUUGGUGAGCCUCUAUUGAAAAAAAUAAGAAUUUUAUUAAAUGCAAAA